rnacentral:rRNA from 1 species
AGAGUUCGAUCCUGGCUCAGGAUAAACGCUGGCGGCGUGCUUAACACAUGCAAGUCGAACGAAGUUUUUCUUUCGGGAGGAACUUAGUGGCGGACGGGUGAGUAACGCGUGGGUAACCUGCCCUGUACAGGGGGACAACAGUUGGAAACGACUGCUAAUACCGCAUAAGCGCACAGCUUCGCAUGAAGCAGUGUGAAAAACUCCGGUGGUACAAGAUGGACCCGCGUCUGAUUAGCUGGUUGGUGAGGUAACGGCCCACCAAGGCGACGAUCAGUAGCCGGCCUGAGAGGGUGAACGGCCACAUUGGGACUGAGACACGGCCCAAACUCCUACGGGAGGCAGCAGUGGGGAAUCUUCCGCAAUGGACGAAAGUCUGACGGAGCAACGCCGCGUGAGUGAUGAAGGAUUUCGGUCUGUAAAGCUCUGUUGUUUAUGACGAACGUGCAGUGUGUGAACAAUGCAUUGCAAUGACGGUAGUAAACGAGGAAGCCACGGCUAACUACGUGCCAGCAGCCGCGGUAAUACGUAGGUGGCGAGCGUUGUCCGGAAUUAUUGGGCGUAAAGAGCAUGUAGGCGGCUUAAUAAGUCGAGCGUGAAAAUGCGGGGCUCAACCCCGUAUGGCGCUGGAAACUGUUAGGCUUGAGUGCAGGAGAGGAAAGGGGAAUUCCCAGUGUAGCGGUGAAAUGCGUAGAUAUUGGGAGGAACACCAGUGGCGAAGGCGCCUUUCUGGACUGUGUCUGACGCUGAGAUGCGAAAGCCAGGGUAGCGAACGGGAUUAGAUACCCCGGUAGUCCUGGCCGUAAACGAUGGGUACUAGGUGUAGGAGGUAUCGACCCCUUCUGUGCCGGAGUUAACGCAAUAAGUACCCCGCCUGGGGAGUACGGCCGCAAGGUUGAAACUCAAAGGAAUUGACGGGGGCCCGCAC